rnacentral:rRNA from 1 species
AAAUUGAAGAGUUUGAUCAUGGCUCAGAUUGAACGCUGGCGGCAGGCCUAACACAUGCAAGUCGAACGGUAACAGGAAGCAGCUUGCUGCUUUGCUGACGAGUGGCGGACGGGUGAGUAAUGUCUGGGAAACUGCCUGAUGGAGGGGGAUAACUACUGGAAACGGUGGCUAAUACCGCAUAACGUCGCAAGACCAAAGAGGGGGACCUUCGGGCCUCUUGCCAUCAGAUGUGCCCAGAUGGGAUUAGCUUGUUGGUGAGGUAACGGCUCACCAAGGCGACGAUCCCUAGCUGGUCUGAGAGGAUGACCAGCCACACUGGAACUGAGACACGGUCCAGACUCCUACGGGAGGCAGCAGUGGGGAAUAUUGCACAAUGGGCGCAAGCCUGAUGCAGCCAUGCCGCGUGUAUGAAGAAGGCCUUCGGGUUGUAAAGUACUUUCAGCGGGGAGGAAGGUGUUGUGGUUAAUAACCACAGCAAUUGACGUUACCCGCAGAAGAAGCACCGGCUAACUCCGUGCCAGCAGCCGCGGUAAUACGGAGGGUGCAAGCGUUAAUC